UACGGAGGGUGCAAGCGUUAUCCGGAUUCACUGGGUUUAAAGGGUGCGUAGGUGGCUUUGUAAGUCAGUGGUGAAAUAUUACGGCUCAACCGUAAAACUGCCAUUGAUACUGCUUAGCUUGAAUCAGGUCGAGGUGGAUGGAAUAUCACAUGUAGCGGUGAAAUGCUUAGAUAUGUGAUAGAACACCGAUUGCGAAGGCAGUUCACUAGGCCUGAAUUGACACUGAGGCACGAAAGCGUGGGGAUCAAACAGG
rnacentral:rRNA from 1 species